CCUACGGGAGGCAGCAGUGGGGAAUAUUGCGCAAUGGGCGAAAGCCUGACGCAGCGACGCCGCGUGAGGGAUGACUGCCCUACGGGUUGUAAACUUCUUUUAUAUGGGAAUAAAAUGUUCCACGUGUGGGAUUUUGUAUGUACCAUAUGAAUAAGGAUCGGCUAACUCCGUGCCAGCAGCCGCGGUAAUACGGAGGAUCCGAGCGUUAUCCGGAUUUAUUGGGUUUAAAGGGAGCGUAGGUGGAUUGUUAAGUCAGUUGGGAAAGUUUGCGGCUCAACCGUAAAAUUGCAGUUGAAACUGGCAGUCUUGAGUACAGUAGAGGUGGGCGGAAUUCGUGGUGUAGCGGUGAAAUGCUUAGAUAUCACGAAGAACUCCGAUUGCGAAGGCAGCUCACUGGACUGCAACUGACACUGAGGCUCGAAAGUGUGGGUAUCAAACAGGAUUAGAUACCCGUGUAGUC
rnacentral:rRNA from 1 species